rnacentral:rRNA from 1 species
UACGUAGGGUGCAAGCGUUGUCCGGAAUUAUUGGGCGUAAAGAGCUCGUAGGCGGUCUGUUACGUCGGCUGUGAAAACCUGGGGCUCAACCCCGGGCCUGCAGCCGAUACGGGCAGACUAGAAUUCGGUAGGGGAGCCUGGAAUUCCUGGUGUAGCGGUGAAAUGCGCAGAUAUCAGGAGGAACACCGGUGGCGAAGGCGGGUCUCUGGGCCGAUAUUGACGCUGAGGAGCGAAAGCGUGGGGAGCGAACAGG